rnacentral:rRNA from 1 species
CAGCAGCCGCGGUAAUACGGAGGGUGCAAGCGUUAAUCGGAAUUACUGGGCGUAAAGCGCACGCAGGCGGUCUGACAAGUCAGAUGUGAAAUCCCCGGGCUUAACCUGGGAACUGCAUUUGAAACUGUCAGGCUGGAGUCUUGUAGAGGGGGGUGGAAUUCCAGGUGUAGCGGUGAAAUGCGUAGAGAUCUGGAGGAAUACCGGUGGCGAAGGCGGCCCCCUGGACAAAGACUGACGCUCAGGUGCGAAAGCGUGGGGAGCAAACAGGAUUAGAUACCCCGCGUAGUCCCUGUCUCUUAUA